rnacentral:misc_RNA from 1 species
CCCAACUAUCCCUAUUAAUCAUUACGUCAAUCCUAGAAACCAACAAAAUAGGAUCAAACGUCCUAUUUCAUUAUUCCAUGCUAAUGUAUUCAAGCGUUAGCCUGCUUUAAACACUCUAAUUUUUUCAAAGUAACAGUCCUGUUUCCCUGCAACACCAAAUUAAUGACAUUACAGUUCUUCAAGAAGGAGGAACCAGUAAAGCCAGUACAUACCAGAGGCACGACCAACUUACUAAUCCCGAAAUUCAACUACGAGCUUUUUAACUGCAACAACUUUAAUAUACGCUAUUGGAGCACCAGACUUGCCCUCCAA